rnacentral:rRNA from 1 species
GUGCCUACGGGGCGCAGCAGUGAGGAAUAUUGGUCAAUGGACGCAGGGCUGAACCAGCCAAGGCGCGUGAGGGAUGACGGCCCUAUGGAUUGUAAACCUCGUUUGUCAGGGAGCAAAGGGAGCCACGUGUGGCGUUUUGCGAGUACCUGAAGAAAAAGCAUCGGCUAACUCCGUGCCAGCAGCCGCGGUAAUACGGAGGAUGCGAGCGUUAUCCGGAUUUAUUGGGUUUAAAGGGUGCGCAGGCGGAA